ensembl:lncRNA novel transcript
GGGUCCAGACAGCAGCAUCCCUGAGGGCCCAGAGAGGUGGCCAGUCCUGUGGUGAGGUUGAGAGGUGUCAACGUGCUGGUGGUCCUCGCUCGCUCUCAGCGCCUCCUCGGCCUCAGCUUCUGCUCUGACCACACUUGAGGAGCCCUUCAGCCCAGCGCUGCACUGUGGGAGCCCCUCUCUGGACUGGUGGAGGCUGGAGCCGGCUCCGUCUGCUUGCGGGGAGUAAGUCUUGCUGCUGCUGCUCCCUCAUUGGGUCCACACUGCCUUUAUGAGUUGUAACACUGGAAGGACUGCAGUUUCACUCCUGAGGCCAGUGAGACCACAAACCCACCAGGAAGAAUGAACAACUCCGUACGUGCAGCCUUAAGAGCCGUAACACUCACUGUGAAGGUCUGCAGCUUCACUCCUGAAGCCAGCAAGACCACGCACCCACCAGAAGGAAGAAACUCUGAACACGUCUUAACAUCAGAAGGAACAAACUCUGAACACACCAUCUUUAAGAACUGUAACACUCACCGUGAGGGUCCACGGCUUCAUUCUUGAAGUCAGUGAGACCAAGAACCCACCAAUUUUGGACACAAGGUGACAGGCUGAGGGCGGUGGCUCGGUCCUGGGUUUUCCUGGGGCCUUC